CAGCAGCAAAGCCAUGCAGCGGGACUUCAAGCAGAAACCUUAGCAGUGUGCCUGAGAGCAUCCUGUUAACCUGCUGACUUAUGGAGGAAAAAAAAGGAAAACACCGUUUUCAAAAUCUCCCUACUUAUUUACCAAGGUCUGCAGAAGUUGAGGAUGUGUGAAGCAGUCCUGGAACCAGAUGAAGGCACGCAGAGGCCAGCAUGGCAGAUGUCAAAAAGGUUGAGCCUGGAGCUUAUCACAUCAUAUCCUGUCAGCAAAGCUAGCCUUUAUCCAAAUGCAAAUCUAGUUUGACGUCCUGGAGUGAAACUCUACCCAGCUGCCACAGUGGGAGCGAUGCCAUUAACUUGAGCAGGUCAAGGGCUCAAUUCCUACUGAUGAUCCCUGGUGAGGCUUUGACUGCACUUCCAGACCCUUUUCUCCCUGGCUAUUGCUUCUAACAUGAGACUGAAGAUGGUCAAGCUCAGGUAAAAUUAGGGUGAAAGGCUGGGAGCAGCUGCUGUCCACCUGACCUGUCAUGCUCAAACACUGUCAUGUGAGUCAGGGUAUCACAGAAGCAAACCUUUCCCGAUAUUAGUGGGCACUAUCCUGCCUUCACAGUGUGCGAAUAUGAGAUGUGGCCUCUGGUCUGUGCUAAGAUGGAGGUAAAGGAGAGGGAGGAGGGGAAAAAAAAAGUACUGGCCUUUGGUUCUUAAAAAAAAUAUCUUUAUAUUUCCUUCUGUCAUUAUCUCAGAUCUAGUUUUGACUUAAUUUUGGGGCUGAAACUGGACUAGCUGCUUUUGCAGAGCACCGGAUUAAUGGUAACAAACAGCUGUGUAGCACUAGAUGUCAGUAGUGCUUCACCAGUUUCUGGGUCAGACCUUACAGGCUUUAUUUGCUGCUGGCCUUUGGCACAUGGAUGUGCUCUCCUUGCUGCAUGUCUUAGAGAACAUACACGAACAAAUAUGUUGUACUCCAAAAAGGCAUUGUGUCUUAUGGUGGUGGUGUUGGUGAAUAGCCAGUUUAGGCCACCAACUUCCAAAAAUGAGAUGUUUUUGCCAUUUCAGUAGAUUAUGCACGGGCUUUUUUGUUAGUGGUCAGUCUGCUUAAAAAAAAAUAAAUUGCAUUUGGGCUUGUAACUUGGCAAAUAACACUCUUGUAGCUGCUCAUUAAAACUCAGAUAGCAGUUUAAAAAGUGUUUCAAACACCUGCAAAGAACCUCUUUUUAAAGAGAUACCCUUUGUCUAAAAACCCUGGUUUAGCUUCAUGCCUUUGUUAAACUUAAACUAGAGCCACUCUCAGCCAGAUGCUUUAAUGAAGUGUCCUUUUUCAAGCCUCAGGAAGGCAGGCAUUGAAAGGAAGUGCCAUAAUUGUCUGAAGGACUUUUGCAUUCACUUCACAAUGCUUUAAAGCAGGACACACAUUCAGGGUGAUCUUAGGCCAUUUCUUGGUUCAUACAAAAAAAAAGACAGCUAGUGUUGUGACAGAAGCCAGAUAAUGCAGGUACUUCUUGCUUCUCCCUAACAAGUAUUAAAUGUGUUAAUGUCAAAUUUCUCAAAUGAAAUCUUUGUUAUUGAAGAGUUCCUGGAGAUGGUAGUUACUUCCCAGGGGAACAGUAUUGUAAAGA